CCCUUAGAUGUUCUGGGCGGCCCGCGCACUACAAUGGCGCUUUCAGCGAGUUCCUAUGUUGAAUUUUCCUGGGUAUUCUUGGAAGCGGCGUCUUGACUUGGGAUAGAUCCUUGUAAUUGUUGGUUUUGAACGAGGAAUUCCUUGUAAUCGCGGUUGAUCAGCUCGCGUUGGAUACGUCCCUGCCCUUUGUACACACCGCCCGUCGCUCCUACCGAUGAAUCGUCCGGUGAAGUUCACAGAGUGGCGGUUCGUGGAGUUGCUCGCGAAGUGAAAUGGACCUCACGAUUUAGAGGAAGGAGAAGUCGUAACA
rnacentral:rRNA from 1 species